UCCGUAGAAUGGUAUAGGUUGAUCUGCUGGUUCCAAUGUAGUGAAGCAGGAUACGAGCAAAGGCUGUUUUUGCGAGUGUUUGUUUCGGUGUAUGCAAUCAAUCAUUUUGGUUUCUUUUUGUUGCUUUGCCUGCACUACGUUGACCCUAAGAGCAAGGAGUAAACAACGGCAUAUUUUGUGCACGGGUUCGUCAUGUUUAUCGCAAGUCACCGGAUAGACAUCUUGCGCUACAGGAUUGACUCCAUCUUCAGAGCCAAAUGAUCGGUUACCGAUCCGAGACGAAUUAGACUGAGCACUCCAGGCGAUAAGCAAAUUAAUAUGUUGGCCUUUUUGUACAUUUUGAAACAAUAAAAAACAUCACUACAUCGUUUAAACAGAGAAAGUCAAAACUGAAAUCCUUGUAAAUAUGUUUUGUAACGCAAAAGUGUACAUCGAAUGUAACUGAUUUCACCGACUGUUUUAUGUCUAGCUGAAAAGGAUCAUUCAUGGGGUUUACAAUACGUUAAGAUAAUUGAGGUUUGUUGUAUUUAAGAUAUAUUAUAUAGAUAGAAUGAUGUUGGGAAACGGUGUGAUGGCUAUAUGUAACACAUAUCUUAAACAUUUCCUUGCAACAAUUCGCUGAGCUCCGAUGAGCUCCAGUUUAUGAAUUUAAAAUUCCAAAUUUAAAUUUGAAUCGAUCUAGAGGGAUUAUUAUUAUUAUAAGUUUAUUUGCCCAUCGUUACCGGGUAUAAUAUAAUUCAUAGUUAAGGAUCACACAUAGUUGAUUGGACGAGUGAAAAUUUCUUAAACGUGGGCAGAGACAUGGUGAAAUCGAUCAGUAGCAGAUAUGUUAAAACAACCAGUACAACUAUAGGGUUACAGAGCAUUCGGUGCGCGAGCAUGUAACUUGUAACAUUUGGUGAUGUUUGGCUAAUAAUCUAGAUGUAUUGAACCUAAGUACACGUAACAAAUAAGAAUCUAAGAGCAGCUGAUAGUUUUGAAGCAGCCUAAAAUGCCUAAAAGUAGUUGAAUGCCUGGUAUGAAUGUGGUCUGAUAGAGGAGAAUGAGGACUCGGAGACCCAAAGUCUGUACACAACAAUGAAAUAAAAAAAUGGUCUAGUGUAAAUAUUAUAAUAAUAAUUAUUAUUAUUAUUUAUUUCAACGGACCGCAUGAGGCCCUCUUGAAGCGGAAUAACGCCAUUGGUCUAAAAUUUCGAGACUCAUGCUUGCUUACGGAAAGCGUAACAUGUGAAGUUUCUUUGAACAUCCUCAAAUUCGUUGAUACGUUCUUGUAUAUGAGAGGAGCAGACAUAAGAGCAGUACUCGAGUGGCGAUCUGACUUGCUAACAAAAGAGUGCUUUCAAACACCGGGAGUCGCCAAAGCCACGAGUCAAUUAAAUUAUUAAUCCUUGAGUUAAAUAUGCGCAGUUAAUAACGUUGUAAAAGUGAAGUCCAAGCGCCAAUUGGUCAAGUAAAACACCUAGGUGGACAGUACGGCAUCGGUCCGUUACGAUUAACUAAUAAAUAAGAAAAACACCUAGGUGGCGCAUUUGUGUAUUUCUCGAAACGUGAAUGCCGUUUAUAUAUUUAAUAGUCAUUAAUUAUCACUGAUCUCGCACGCGCAAUGUACAAAACAAAACACAUUUUUGUACAAGAUAAGCAGCUUAAGACGCACCAGCUGUUGAACACCAAUACAACUUGCUGUAUUUUAGCACAAUCUUUGGUCGUUUUUAUGGAGUGCAUUGAGUAAGCCCUUACUAAGAGAUAUAACUAAUUUAUAUUUAAUUAUUUUAGAGAGGCUGCAAAUAGUUUGAUUAUAGUUCAAUUAAUGUCGAAUCAAGGAACAUAUCAGUUAACGUUUGCCUCCAUGUUAUGACCACCAUGAAAGGGUUUAACAAAAAUUGAAGCCCUGAAACCCUAGCGUUCAACUAAAAAGAUGAAAGCCUUGGAUCUCAAGAUAAGGGUGAGUUGAGGGAAGAAUAUUGGAUGGAUUGUAAGGAAGAGCUGUGAAAGACAGACACAGCAACCACUGAAGUUAAAAAGAUGGAAGAGGAGGUUGAAAUGGGGAUCUUCAAGUAUAGCUGGCAAAGGAGCAAGAUUAUAUAGUUACUAUUUGUGAUAGUAGAAGACGCCUAUUGCAGGCAAUAUAACACAAUUACAAGUCACAGGCAUAAACAUAUUUAAUGUCUUAUGUACGUAUCAGUGCAAUGUAAUGCUUCGCAACCGGGGCUGGACCGGGGUUGAAAUCCCAUCCAGAUCUCCUCGUACGGAUAGCUGACUAUCCAGCUACGGGUAAAAUCAAGUCACAGAAAGCCAGAAAUGGCAAGAGUAGACCUCUCGAGAAGAGGUCCUCCUCUCGAAGAAGAGAUAGAAAGUGUGUGUAUAUAGAAUGGUCAUGUUUCGUUCGGCUUUAGUCAGUUAUAUUUGCUAGAAUUUUUAAAUAAUGCUAUUCAAAUCUGAAAGAUUAUACAAGAUAAUAUAAACUAUCUACGAUACGAUUAAA